rnacentral:rRNA from 1 species
GAUGAACGCUGGCGGCGUGCCUAAUACAUGCAAGUCGAGCGAACGGACGAGAAGCUUGCUUCUCUGAUGUUAGCGGCGGACGGGUGAGUAACACGUGGAUAACCUACCUAUAAGACUGGGAUAACUUCGGGAAACCGGAGCUAAUACCGGCUUAUAUUUUGAACCGCAUGGUUCAAAAGUGAAAGACGGUCUUGCUGUCACUUAUAGAUGGUUCCGCGCUGCAUUAGCUAGUUGGUAAGGUAACGGCUUACCAAGGCAACGAUGCAUAGCCGACCUGAGAGGGUGACCGGCCACACUGGAACUGAGACACGGUCCAGACUCCUACGGGAGGCAGCAGUAGGGAAUCUUCCGCAAUGGGCGAAAGCCUGACGGAGCAACGCCGCGUGAGUGAUGAAGGUCUUCGGAUCGUAAAACUCUGUUAUUAGGGAAGAACAUAGGUGUAAGUAACUGUGCACAUCUUGACGGUACCUAAUCAGAAAGCCACGGCUAACUACGUG